AUUAUUUUUUGAUUUGAAUAUAUCGCUUGUAGAGGUAGGUCGUCCUGGAGAAAUCUUAGUGCAGCCUCGUCGCCGCGAGACCACGUGACUCACGCAACGCGUUCUUCUAUCUACUCGCUAUCCGGUGGACAUCGGCGGACGGAUCUCGCCCGCCGUGUAUCCGUGUGUCGGCUCUCCGCACGCCGCCGAGACGCGAUGAAGAAUCGACGCGACGAUAGACGGAAACGCGAAUUGGAGCUUCUGCAAACACCAUGAGGACGGUUUUGCGAGACGCGCGACGAACCGCGCAAACAUAAUUCUCAUUAACCUCAUUGCGAUGUAACAGAAUAAAUUAAAAAAAAAAACAAGAAAUUUGAAAGUCUAAAUUUCCAAUUUAAUGUGGAAUAAGAUGCAAGAUUAAUGCGACGACAACUCGACGAAGCCUUUACUCUUUCAGGGAGCAUGCGAACAAUAGAACGUCGCUCUCGCUUAAGGGGGGAGCCUGCUUUAGAACGCUGAAAAUAAGGUAUAUUUUACGAAUUGUUUUUGGAGAAACUAUACAGCGGAUCAUUAUAAAACUUUGAUGCAUUUAUUAGUACAUGUUUAAAGAUAAAAAAAAUUAUUUUUUUAUUUGAAUAUAUCGCUUGUAGAGGUAGGUCGUCCUGGAGAAAUCUUAGUGCAGCCUCGUCGCCGCGAGACCACGUGACUCACGCAACGCGUUCUUCUAUCUACUCGCUAUCCGGUGGACAUCGGCGGACGGAUCUCGCCCGCCGUGUAUCCGUGUGUCGGCUCUCCGCACGCCGCCGAGACGCGAUGAAGAAUCGACGCGACGAUAGACGGAAACGCGAAUUGGAGCUUCUGCAAACACCAUGAGGACGGUUUUGCGAGACGCGCGACGAACCGCGCAAACAUAAUUCUCAUUAACCUCAUUGCGAUGUAACAGAAUAAAUUAAAAAAAAAAACAAGAAAUUUGAAAGUCUAAAUUUCCAAUUUAAUGUGGAAUAAGAUGCAAGAUUAAUGCGACGACAACUCGACGAAGCCUUUACUCUUUCAGGGAGCAUGCGAACAAUAGAACGUCGCUCUCGCUUAAGGGGGGAGCCUGCUUUAGAACGCUGAAAAUAAGAGGUAGGUCGUCCUGGAGAAAUCUUAGUGCAGCCUCGUCGCCGCGAGACCACGUGACUCACGCAACGCGUUCUUCUAUCUACUCGCUAUCCGGUGGACAUCGGCGGACGGAUCUCGCCCGCCGUGUAUCCGUGUGUCGGCUCUCCGCACGCCGCCGAGACGCGAUGAAGAAUCGACGCGACGAUAGACGGAAACGCGAAUUGGAGCUUCUGCAAACACCAUGAGGACGGUUUUGCGAGAGACGCGCGACGAACCGCGCAAACAUAAUUCUCAUUAACCUCAUUGCGAUGUAACAGAAUAAAUUAAAAAAAAAAACAAGAAAUUUGAAAGUCUAAAUUUCCAAUUUAAUGUGGAAUAAGAUGCAAGAUUAAUGCGACGACAACUCGACGAAGCCUUUACUCUUUCAGGGAGCAUGCGAACAAUAGAACGUCGCUCUCGCUUAAGGGGGGAGCCUGCUUUAGAACGCUGAAAAUAAGAGGUAGGUCGUCCUGGAGAAAUCUUAGUGCAGC
rnacentral:lncRNA from 1 species